AUUGAACGCUGGCGGCAGGCCUAACACAUGCAAGUCGAGCGGAUGAAGGGAGCUUGCUCCUGGAUUCAGCGGCGGACGGGUGAGUAAUGCCUAGGAAUCUGCCUGGUAGUGGGGGAUAACGUCCGGAAACGGGCGCUAAUACCGCAUACGUCCUGAGGGAGAAAGUGGGGGAUCUUCGGACCUCACGCUAUCAGAUGAGCCUAGGUCGGAUUAGCUAGUUGGUGGGGUAAAGGCCUACCAAGGCGACGAUCCGUAACUGGUCUGAGAGGAUGAUCAGUCACACUGGAACUGAGACACGGUCCAGACUCCUACGGGAGGCAGCAGUGGGGAAUAUUGGACAAUGGGCGAAAGGCUGAUCCAGCCAAGCCGGGUGUGUGAAGAAGGUCUUCGGAUUGUAAAGCACUUUAAGUUGGGAGGAAGGGCAGUAAGUUAAUACCUUGCUGUUUUGACGUUACCAACAGAAUAAGCACCGGCUAACUUCGUG
rnacentral:rRNA from 1 species